GACGAACGCUGGCGGCGUGCUUAACACAUGCAAGUCGAACGGGAUUUAGUAGACAGAAGCCUCGGCUAAAGAUUACUAAUGAGAGUGGCGAACGGGUGAGUAACGCGUGAGCAACCUGCCUAUGACAGUGGGAUAGCCUCGGGACACCGGGAUUAAUACCGCAUAAAAUCGUAGAAACACAUGUUUUAACGGUCAAAGAUUUAUCGGUCAUAGAUGGGCUCGCGUCUGAUUAGCUAGUUGGUGAGAUAACAGCCCACCAAGGCGACGAUCAGGAGCCGGUCUGAGAGGAUGACCGGCUACAUUGGAACUGAGGCACGGUCCAAACUCCUACGGAAGGGAGCAGUAGGGAAUAUUGCACAAGGGGGGAAACCCUAAUGCAGCGACGCCGCGUGAACGAAGAAGGUAUUCGUAUCGUAAAGUUCUGUCCUAUGGGAAGAUAAUGACAGUACCAUAGAAGAAAGCACCGGCUAAAUACGUG
rnacentral:rRNA from 1 species